rnacentral:rRNA from 1 species
AGACCGGUGCCAGCCGCCGCGGUAACACCGGCAGCCCGAGUGGUGAUCACUAUUAUUGGGUCUAAAGGGUCCGUAGCCGGUUUAAUCAGUCUUCUGGGAAAUCUAAUCGCUUAACUAUUGGGCUUCCAGGGGAUACUGUUAGACUUGGGACCGGGAGAGGUAAGAGGUACUGCAGGGGUAGGAGUGAAAUCUUGUAAUCCCUGUGAGACCACCAGUGGCGAAGGCGUCUUACCAGAACGGGUCCGACGGUGAGGGACGAAAGCUGGGGGCACGAACCGGAUUAGAUACCCGGGUAGUCCCAGCUGUAAACGAUGCUCGUUAGGUGUCAGGAACGGUGCGACUGUUUCUGGUGCCGAAGGGAAGCCGUGAAACGAGCCACCUGGGAAGUACGGCCGCAAGGCUGAAACUUAAAGGAAUUGGCGGGGGAGCACUACAACGGGUGGAGCCUGCGGUUUAAUUGGACUCAACGCCGGAAAACUCACCGGGGGCGACAGCAAUAUGUAGGUCAGGUUAAAGGUCUUACCUGAAUCGCUGAGAGGAGGUGCAUGGCCGUCGUCAGUUCGUACUGUGAAGCAUCCUGUUAAGUCAGGCAACGAGCAAGACCCGUGCCCACUGUUACCAGCAUAUCCUUUAUGGAUGAUGGGGACUCUGUGGGGACCGCUGCUGCUAAAGCAGAGGAAGGUGCGGGCUACGGUAGGUCAGUAUGCCCCGAAUCUCCCGGGCUACACGCGGGCUACAAUGGUUGGGACAAUGGGUAUCUACUCCGAAAGGAGUUGGCAAUCUCUUAAACCCAAUCGUAGUUCGAAUUGAGGGCUGUAACUCGCCCUCAUGAAGCUGGAAUCCGUAGUAAUCGCGUUUCAACAUAGCGCG